GACGAACGCUGGCGGCGUGCUUAACACAUGCAAGUCGAACGGAAAGGCCCUGCUUUUGUGGGGUGCUCGAGUGGCGAACGGGUGGGUAACACGUGAGUAACCUGCCCUUGACUUUGGGAUAACUUCAGGAAACUGGGGCUAAUACCGGAUAGGAGCUCCUGCUGCAUGGUGGGGGUUGGAAAGUUUCGGCGGUUGGGGAUGGACUCGUGGCUUAUCAGCUUGUUGGUGGGGUAGUGGCUUACCAAGGCUUUGACGGGUAGCCGGCCUGAGAGGGUGACCGGCCACAUUGGGACUGAGAUACGGCCCAGACUCCUACGGGAGGCAGCAGUGGGGAAUAUUGCACAAUGGGCGGAAGCCUGAUGCAGCAACGCCGCGUGCGGGAUGACGGCCUUCGGGUUGUAAACCGCUUUCGCCUGUGACGAAGCGUGAGUGACGGUAAUGGGUAAAGAAGCACCGGCUAACUACGUGCCAGCAGCCGCGGUGAUACGUAGGGUGCGAGCGUUGUCCGGAUUUAUUGGGCGUAAAGGGCUCGUAGGUGGUUGAUCGCGUCGGAAGUGUAAUCUUGGGGCUUAACCCUGAGCGUGCUUUCGAUACGGGUUGACUUGAGGAAGGUAGGGGAGAAUGGAAUUCCUGGUGGAGCGGUGGAAUGCGCAGAUAUCAGGAGGAACACCAGUGGCGAAGGCGGUUCUCUGGGCCUUUCCUGACGCUGAGGAGCGAAAGCGUGGGGAGCGAACAGGCUUAGAUACCCUGGUAGUCCACGCUGUAAACGGUGGGUACUAGGUGUGGGGUCCAUUCCACGGGUUCCGUGCCGUAGCUAACGCUUUAAGUACCCCGCCUGGGGAGUACGGCCGCAAGGCUAAAACUCAAAGGAAUUGACGGGGCCCCGCACAAGCGGCGGAGCAUGCGGAUUAAUUCGAUGCAACGCGUAGAACCUUACCUGGGUUUGACAUGGAUCGGGAGUGCUCAGAGAUGGGUGUGCCUCUUUUGGGGUCGGUUCACAGGUGGUGCAUGCCUGUCGUCAGCUCGUGUCGUGAGAUGUUGGGUUAAGUCCCGCAACGAGCGCAACCCUUGUUCACUGUUGCCAGCACGUUAUGGUGGGGACUCAGUGGAGACCGCCGGGGCCAACUCGGAGGAAGGUGGGGAUGACGUCAAGUCCUCAUGCCCCUUAUGUCCAGGGCUUCACGCAUGCUACAAUGGCUGGUACAGAGAGUGGCGAGCCUGUGAGGGUGAGCGAAUCUCGGAAAGCCGGUCUCAGUUCGGAUUGGGGUCUGCAACUCGACCUCAUGAAGUCGGAGUCGCUAGUAAUCGCAGAUCAGCAACGCUGCGGUGAAUACGUUCCCGGG
rnacentral:rRNA from 1 species